GACUGUGCUAAGGUAGCGAAGUCAUUAGUUUUUUUAUUGGGAACUUGUAUGAGUGGGGGAAUAGAAGAAUGUUUAUUAAUUUAAUAGGGCUGUAAUUUUGAUUAUAUGUGAAAAUUCAUGUGAAAGCUCCAAAGACGAGAAGACCCUAAAACCUUUAUAGCAUUUUAUAUUUGUUGCUGUUUAUUUGGGGGAAAGGAUAAUUUUUAUUGUAAGUUUUUUUAGGAGGAACUUUAUUUUAGGUUGGUUGGAUAGGUACUUUAGGGAUAACAGGA
rnacentral:rRNA from 1 species